rnacentral:lncRNA from 1 species
GUCAGAGAAUUUUACCUAAAUUUGGGGUACAGCAAUGAAACAGUAAAAUCCAUAGUGAAGGGUGUAGACAUUAGCCUAGAUCCUAUGCUUUUGGGGCAGAUACUUCAUUUACCAUGUGAGGGGUAUACCAACAUGGAGCUCCCAGUUAAAGAGGAAGGAAUAAAUAUUAUCCUAGGGAGAACCUUCACUGGAAGUCUGAACAAAUUAGAGGCAAAGAUUUUUUCUAUUGAGA